rnacentral:rRNA from 1 species
UACGGGGGGGGUAAGCGUUGUUCGGAAUUACUGGGCGUAAAGGGCUCGUAGGCGGCCAACUAAGUCAUACGUGAAAUCCCUCAGCUUAACUGGGGAACUGCGUGUGAUACUGGAUGGCUUGGAUUUGGGAGAGGGAUGCGGAAUUCCAGGUGUAGCGGUGAAAUGCGUAGAGAUCUGGAGGAACACCGAUGGCGAAGGCAGCCUUCUGGGCGAACACUGACGCUCAUGCACGAAAGCGUGGGGAGCAAACAGG